UAUUUUAUUUUGUUCACUUCAGAUAAUUGUAGAUUAUAUAAACCACAAAAAAGUUUAGUAAUCACAAAGUCUGUGAUUAUUAUAAAAUGGUAAAGUAUCCCAACAGGUCAAAUAAAUAGUUUCUAUUUCCAAAGAGAGUUUAUUUUGGGGGCGGGGGGAGACUUGCCCUCACUAUGCAGGAUUAAGUCUUUGUAGCGCUUACACAUUUUUUUCAAAGCUACCACACCCUAGAGAGUUAUUUUCUCUGUCUCAUAAAUAUCUGGCUUGCAGUCAUGUAACAAGUAAGAAGUGCUGCUCUUCCUGACUGAAGUUUUUUAUCUUUCACCCAGUACUUUUAAUCUGUCAAGGUAGAAUAGCCAAGCAAUUAUAAAAGGAUUGAUGCAAUUCCUGAAAAUCUACAUAAACCCAAGUGCAAUCCUGUCUAAGUUCAGAACAAAAUGUUUUGUGACGUUGUUGGAUAUAAACAGUACGGGACGUCUGGUAGUUUUGGGUUGUAGUUUGUUUCUCGACCUAUUCUAUAAUAGACUUAAAACCAAUGGGCUACAAUGAAAAACUUUUAAAAUAAAAAAAGAUAAACUUAUAAUAUAUAAAUCAUAGGUUUUCAUUUUGUAGCGUUUUUUGUGAAGGCGUAAUGCUUAUUUCAAACCGCUAGGUGUCAGUAAAAACUUUACGCUCCCAUGUGCUCACACACAUCGGGAUGUGGUUGUUUACUUUAGAUCACAAAACUAUUCACCCUCUUAUUACUUCAUCAGACUUACCCAUCGUUUUGUAAAUAUACACACAUUAUCUUCCCAAAGAAUCUGGAUUGAUCUGCAUGUAAACUGGACCUCGUGUGUUCCUCAAAUUCCCAGAACCUGUUUUGCUUCUGUGCUCAGCCCCUCUGCACCUGGGGCUCCUCAAACUAUUUUUCUAGGAAAUAUCUGCCAAGAUCCACUCGCGGUUUCCUGCCUGUGCUCGCACUCAUCCUGACCAUCUGCUGAGGCUUCAGUGCAAAAACAAUGUAUUCACUCUCAGAUUAUUACAUUUUUUGUUGUUGGGCAUUUUAAUAAAUUGUUAAUCUAUAUACUAAAUAUAACUUCUCUGCACAUUAAGGUUUUUCACAACUUUUGUUAUUUUUAAGUGCUUUAAAUUCCAGUUCGUUUCAUGUGUUUCUUUACUCAGACGGAGUCCAUUAGAGUUAAAAAGUAGCGAUGUUAAAUACACAUUCAUUUUAUCUAAGUGGCUCAUCUGACCCAGAAGGGGAAUCUAAACAUCCACCAUCAGUGAAAUGCUCCAGGUGUGAAUAGAGAUUUACUCUGUUCAGCUUUUAUUAUGUUUAAGUUAUUAUUUACAGCCUCUGCAGACAGUCAUUCUGUCACCUAAAAUCUCACGUAAAAUACAUGAAAGUUUUUGAUUGGAAUGGGACAAAAGGUUUAUAUAGUUUAAGUGCUAUGGAUGAUUUUUCAAGGGAGUCCUGGGUUUACCUCAGGAUCUCCCCCCACUACAUGAAGAUCCUCUAAAGGCAGGCAGCCCGGAGGCAUCCUGAUUAUUGGGUCAAACUAUUUAAGCUGUGUUAAAUCCUCUCAAGGCAAACCCAUAACAGGAACACAAAAAAGGAACAGAUUUUACUUGAUGGUGAUGUCAUGCUGAGCUUCUGUAGAAGUGAGAGCUACUCACUGACAUUCCUGAGAUAUUAUCAAGCUGGUCACUGUUGGAGCUCUUCCCUCCGAUCUGAAACAAGCAAUGAAUGAAGGCUAAGGUCAUGAAAGAAAUUGAUGCUCCCUUUCAAAUCUUCAACUUUGGUAAAAGAAAUAGAACUAAAAUCCUGGAUUCACCUUUCUGCAAACGUUAUUGUUGCAAAAUUUCUUUAUUUAUCAGAAUUAAACAUGUCACUCCAGACUGCUUUACUUUAUAUCUAUUUGUACAAAUAAAAAAAGGAAUUCCUGCUCAUAUAAUAUGGGUUUGAAAUAUGUGUUUGAGUAGGUUAAUGUGUAGGUUCUCCGUAGGAAAAACCCUACAUUACUUAAGAGUAGUUUUUAUUAAAAUUGUCAAAAACUUUUCACAACCUACAUUUGCCAAUAAGACAGUGUUUUAUUGUCUUACAACAUUUCAGAUGGUUGAAUUCUUUGACCGUUCUUUGCAGAAUCUCAAUAGAUUCUCUCAAGUUCUGGGUCUUUCCAACUCUUUUAUUUAGUAUUUAGAUCUGGAACUUCUUUAAAAUGACACAUUUUAAAGAAAUCAUCUUGCCUUGCAGAAGAACAUCCCAGGAGCUCCACAGAUCCUGCAGCAAGAAAACAGUGGAGCUUUUCCACAUCCUUUGUUUUAUGCCCGAUCCACCUGAAACGUUUUUUUAAAGAAAAGUUCAAGUUUUAUCUCAUCCAACCAAGGCAGCUGAUAUGAGUUGAUAUUUACUAUUGGUUUAGCAAAUAUGGCAGAUAUGUUUUUCUUAUGUAUUUUCCUUGAAGGCCCCCUAGAAACAGUUGGCACAAAGAUAAUGGUUGUCAUGGAGAUUUAGCAAUCAGAAGAUGCCACAUAUGAAGAUCAACAUUUGUUGAUCUUCAUAUGUGGCUAAAUAUGUGUUGUAACUAAAUCGAAUGUUUUCUCGUCUUGCCCACUUUGAACGGUUGCUAAGAUAAUUUUGGAUCUGUGCUCUGUGGCUUACACGCCAGAAAAUCAUGAAUUCAUGGAUUACUGAUUAAAAGUUCUCCAAUCAACUCCAGUCAAAAAAAUAACAUUAAUUACAAAAAUAAUUUAGUUCACAUUUUAACUAAAUCAUUACUAUUUAGUAAAUAGUAACUAUUUACUAUUCGGUAAAUCGAAUAGUAAAUAGUAACAGUCUAAAUAUUUACUAUGUAAAUAGUGAAUAUUUACUAAAUAUUCACUAUUUACUAAAUAUUUUGCUGUUUUGUAAAUAGUAAAACAUGUACUAAAGAUUUGAAUAUAUUUAGUAAAUAUUAACAUGUGAGUAAUUAUUGGUGAUUUUGUACAAAAACAACAAUGAUUUAAUGUGGUGUGUACCUUUUGCUGUCUGCCUGGUGUUUCCCUGAGUUCUUUAAAUAUUUCUGUUAUUUUGUGAUUAAAAUUCUUGUUGUGUCACUCCACUGCAUUUGGGUCUUCAAUCCUCGCUAAUCAGGGCAUUCAAUGGUUUUUAGCAAACCUUGACAAGAGGUACAUUUUUAAUGGUACUGCAAAGCCAGAGGUUUAUAUUUUUGUUUAUUUGAAAAAAAAAAACCAAACAAUUUCAUGACAUAUAUUACAUAUGUAUAUAUAACAUACAUAUGUAAUAUAUGUCAUGACAUAUAUGACAUGACAUACAUGUCAUGAAAUGACAUAUUUGAAACAAAAUAUAAUAUUGAUGAAUUAGUAAUGAAAAAUCCAGGCAGAUAUUUGCACUUGAACUGGCAGAAUGGUGUGUGACUUUACACACAGCUGCAUAGUCACAACAGACGCUCCAUGAUAACAACAAUGGACAAAGGACAUGAGUCACACUCAAUUACAUACUGUUUCUUUUUCAGAAAAGUAAAGAGUCAUCUCUCUCUCUCUGUAAUGCAAAAAGCACACACAGACACGCAGCAGUCGGUACGAAACUGAAAAUAUGAAGUAUGAAAAGCUACGUUUAAUUUCAAUUGUCAAACCUAGAGCUGAAACAUGCGGGACCUACAAAAUCACAAAACACAGGAAAAGUCAACAUGAACAUGUCAUCUCCCAAUCGAACAGAAAAAUUUGAAAUAGAUGA